GAAAGAUGAAGUUCGACUAAAAACGUCACGCCCUGUGACAACAUCGAACCCCCACCUCGUGUGGG
rnacentral:sRNA from 1 species